rnacentral:tRNA from 1 species
GCUGCCCGGACUUCAAACCCGGUUGGGGGCGUCAGCCGCUCCCAGGUAGGUUCGACUCCUGCUGCUUUUCGCCA